GGGGAAGGGAAAUAACAAUCGAAAUGUAAAUAAGAAAUACUCAAGUUAAUAAAGAUGGAAAAAAUAAAUAAAAUAUUGUUCUUGCCGGUAGCUUGUAAAAUCACACAAGGGUUGCCAGCACAAGGAGGGACACAUCUCUGUCAUUCCUUCUAGUAUCCUAAAUUGAUUAUACCAUAAAGCUGUUUAUGUGUUGAUACUCAUAUGAGAGCAAUGAACCCCACAUUUUCUUCUCUUCAACUUUUAGUUUUGUAAAGGAUAUGGGUAAAAUCUUUACCCUUUCAAGCUUUAUCACUUCAUAUUGUCUUUGUUCUUUAGAAAAUCUUAUUCUUUAAUGGAUACAAUUAUACUUACUUGUGUCACUAGAGAAAAUUAGCUGAGCUUGAAAACAGGCUGUAAAAGGAAUUUAGACAUAGUUUUCAUAAGAGAUCUUUUUACGUAAUCACAUUGACUUUAUAGCCACCAGCAAGAACAGUGUUUUAUAAUCUUUCUUAAGGAGAAAGCAAUGUUUGUGUAACAAUGUGUGUGGGUGACUUUUAUCCAUAUAAUAGACAUUACUUAGCAAAUUCAUUUGUCAGACACUUAAUCUGCUGAAGUGUAGAAAAAUUAAUGUUUUAAAUAUAUUCCCAGGAAGUUUUAUAUUAUAACAUUAUUGAAAGAGUUAAUGUUAGCUAAUAUUACAUGGCUAUUUUAUUCAUUCUUGGCCUUCAGGCAAGUUACUAAAUGUGAAUUUUAUAUUGAAUGAAUGCAAGCAGUACAGUGCCUUCCGUGACCGUCAAGCAGUAGCCCCAGCUACUGGACACCUAUAUUUCUAUGCUAUUGGGUUUCGAUCAAAGCAGAAAUAAGCCUGUCUUUUCCAUUCCAAGUUCAACAGUGGUAAGGCUAAGAAGAGCCCAGACCAAAACUAUCACAGUGCACAGAACGGUUAAAUCCACAGUGGAAGAAACAAUAGUAGUCUCUCAAGAAGAAAGAAGAAGCUGAAUGUGAGGGAAAUUGUCAAGAGAUAGACAACAAAUAGCAGAUGGACUCACUCUGUUCCAUAAAAUAUAAAAUACAGAUUUAUACUAGGAAGGUUGAUUUCCAGAGAGUUUCUUCAGAAAAAUGGAGAAGCCAUGGGAAAAUCAUCAGAGUGGUGAUGAGGAUUAGAGGCGGCUGGAACUAAAAGGACUGGUUAGGAGUUAUCAUCUGCUUCUCAAUUCACAUAUAAUCUUGUGUCAAAAUAUGUUUAUCAAAUGAGUGAUUUUUAUUGAAAAGUCAUAUGCAUACGAGCAAGACUAAACAGAUUCAGCAAAAAAGCAUUUACACACAAACUUACACACACAUUGAUACAUACAUACAUAUAUAUAUAUAUAUAUAUAUAUAUUGUGUGUGGGGGAGUAAAACAAUCAAAAUUAGGUAGAAAGUUCAUGGAGUUGAGAGUGGGAGUGGCCAUGGGAGGAACAAGGAUGGAGGAAUGUUGAGCAGAGAUUAUGUAAAUGCAGAAUACUAUGCAGAUAUAACAUUUUCCAAAAAUUAAUACAUUCCUCUUUAGCAGUUGAUAAUAAGUCCCCAUUAUUGAAGACAACAAUUGCACAACUCUAUAAACUAUAAAUAUCAAGUAGUUUCCUACAUAGAGUCUUCAUGUUUGAUAUUUCAGUGUUGUUGGUUCAAGACCUACUGUUCAAAUUCUCAACGGAAAAAUGCUUUAUCUACAACGGUGUCCUGCCUACAAGAUAUGCUAAGGCAGUGGUGGCACAAAGCUUGUGCAUUAAACAACCAAUAUCUGAUUUGACAUAAGGCCCAUUCUUUGAGAUGAAUCCAUAACUGACACCGCUUGACACCUGGGUCAAGAUGGCCCAGGGAGCUAGGGUAAAAUCAAAUAAUACUGGUCUACAAAAGGAAAACAAAAUGUAGUGAUAAAAUGACUUCUCAUGAUAAAUUGCUACAGUUAGACCACAGCCUUGUUCAACUAUCAGCAGAGAAGUUUCCUCCUGUUGACAUUGGGGAUAAACACAAAUACCUAACUCCUGACAUUAUUGAAAGUGAGAGAUCUUGAAACACUCAGACCUAAAUGGGACGUCUUCAUCAAACCCCUCUCCUCAGUUCUCAAGAAAAACCACAGAAUAGGACACUGAAAAAGUUUAAGAGUCAGAGGGAACAGAGGAAGCCAGGAGUACAAGACACUCUAAGUCAACAUGAGUAAAGCUCACAGGAACUCACAACGACUAAAGCUCUCUGCACAGGUCCGCACCAGGUCCUCUGCAUAUAUAUCAUGGUUUCCAGUUUAGUAUUUUUAUGGAAUUCUUGGGUGUGCAAAUGAGCAGGUCCCUGAUUCUUGUGCCUUUUCUUGGGCUCUUUUCCUUCUGUGCAUUUGUCUUUGAUGUGAUAGCUUUUUAUCUUAUUGUAUUUUGUUUUGUGAAUGAGUGAAGGAAUUAAUGACUGACUGAGUGAAAACGUAGCUGCUAUGGUAGAGGUUAACAACCGAACUGUUACUUACACCUGUUGGGAGAGGGGAAAUGGGUUUUCUCAGAGUAACAGUUUAUCAACCUCUUUAGUAGAGGAUUUGUGCUUAAAUGUAGUGGACAAAGAGAAAACUGGAUGCCAGAGAUGUGUGUGUGUGUGUGUGUGUGUGUGUGUGUGUGUGUGUGUGUGUGUUUUUGGUUCUCUCUUUUUCUUUCUUUCCUUUUGGAUAUGCUUUUUUCUUUUCUAUUUUUUCUUGAGUGGGAGAUGUUGUUGCAUUUGGUUUUUGUUUCUUUUAUUUUUGGGUUUUCCAAGGCAGAGUUUCUCUGUGUAGCCCUGGCUAUCCUGGAACCUCCAUCUUGCUCUCUAGACCAGCCUGACCUAGAACUAACAGAAAUUGCCCUGCUUCUGUUUCCUAAGUGCUGAGAUUAAAGCCAAUUUCAUUUGAUCUGUGCUGGAUUGAUUACACAAUCCCUAACCUUAUUUGCAUCUCUUAUGAUGUCAUAGUUUCCUAUUUUCCCAGUUUAUUGACUGUACUAUUUGUUUUAUGCUUUGUUUUCUGAAGGUAUUAAUCAAACAAUAUUUCAUUUUAAAAAUAUUUCUUUUAGACACAAUUUCAUCCACAACAGUAUAAAGCUUAGCCUCUUGUUCUUAUGUCAGUGUCUGGCUCAAAAAAGAAACCUUGGGUGUUUUGCAAGUUGCACAUGGAGAAUAGACAGGCCAUGUUGAUGGUUUGAGAGGUCUAGAGUUUAAGGCUCUUCCUAAAGAUUACUGACUUAGACACUGAUCUCCCUGGCUUCCCUUUUUGCUAGUUCAUUGUCUUCCCUAAGAUACUUUGACACAUUCUUUUGACUUCUGAUAGGCUUUCUGCCUGAGGUGUGAAGGGCUUUAAAUAUGAUACUUUUAGAUUUUUUUUUUUGAGCUAAUCAUUCCUUCAUCUUCUUUCUAAGUGUUGUCUCAGUUUUUAUUCCUUAUCAUCUAACUCUUCGGCAAGCAUGUGUGUUCACCUUUCUUUGAAUUUUAUUGUAUCUUCGUGAGAAUUUCAGGCAAAGAUGAAAAUAAAUGCUACAUUAAGUGUGCCAUGUUAAUCAGAAGGCUUGUCCCAACUUUCAAUCCUGAUUUUUUUCAAUACUUGCUUUAUACUGGAUUGUAUCCACACAUUCUUAUGUCCACUGAUUGAUCUCUUUUAUUUUCCUUUACCCACAUAUGUAAACUGAUUGUCUGUUUCCCUGUACCCAUGGCUGUGCGCUUUGAAUUCAAACAAGGCUUCAAAAUUUCACCUGCCCUGUCCAAUCCGUUGGGAUUGCUAUGCUAUUUAUUGCUAUGCUAAUAAAUUACAUAAGGUCUUAUUUCAGCACUAAACUUUAUUUACUCGUAAUUCUACUUCCUUCUACUUAGGUUCAACUAAUCUUCUUGAACAGAUUAUUACAGUGCUUGUUUCUCUCUCUCUCUCUCUCUCUCUCUCUCUCUCUCUCUUUCUCAGCUAACUUUCAAAUCACAUAUCUGUUUCCUACCAUUUUAAAUAUGUUAUUGCACAUAUCUUAACUAGCGUUUUACUGCUGCAAAAAGACACCAUGACCAAGAUAACUCUUAUAAGGACAACAUUUAAUGGGACCUGGAUUACAGGUUCAGAGGUUCAUUCCAUUGUCUUCAAGGUGGGGACAUGGUAGAAUCCAGGCAGUCCUGGUGCAGGAGGAGCUGAGAAUUCUACAUUUUCACCUGAAGGCCGAUAGGAGAAGACUGACUUCCAGACAGCUAUGACUAGAAUCUAAAAACCCACGCUCAGUGACACACUUGCUACCAAAAGGCCACACUUACUCCAACAAUGCCACAUUUCGUAAUAGUGCCACUCCCUGGACCAAGUAUACUCAGACCACCACAGUAUGGUAUUGAUUUAAAGGUUUGACUCUUCUACUCUCUUCAAUCUCUAUUUGGAUUGAAUACAUGUGAAUCAGAAAAUUGGGGAGGGGAUUUGGUGGAGCUAAGGAACUGAUCUUAUGAUAUUAUUCAGUUUUAAGAAAGGGAAGGCCAUUGUAAUCUCAUCUGAAGAUGAAAUGCCCACAGUUUUCAUCUAGUGGGUGACUGUGGGAAUCUCAAAGCAGAAGUACUUCUCAGUCAGUAUGAAAUAUUGAAGCAUCAUUGACUAACUAAAGAGUGCAGGCAUUCCGGCUAGAUGCCAAAUCAUAGAACUUCCUGAUCCUACAUUUUUGUUCAAUGCCCUGGAUUGUGUGAUUUUAAUCAAGGAAAAGAUGAUUGCCAUCUACAAAGUACCUAUCAUGAGGAUAAAGGGAUACCAUAGCACUGAAUUCAAAAAAGGCACAUCCUAUCGUCCUACCUAUAAAAACAUAAAUAUCUACUAGGAAAAAUUCAGCUUGAGUUUUAAAGAUAAAAUGACUAGGCCUGUCAAUAUGUUAAAGUGGCUUAUCAAUGAUAAUAGAAAUUACCCUGGAUGACACAGAAUGGAGGUGUGAGGUAAAAUUAAAUGUAGAAUAUAAGUUAAUCUUUUUGCAGACCUGAGCUUAUGCUCUGAAAUUGCAUUUUGUUUAAAUGACAUUUGUCUUCACAAACAUUCUUUGUGACAGCUCUGUCCUGCUAAUGACAAUGAGGACACUUCCUGCAUCCAUUUCAGCUCUCCUUUGGUCUAAGCAAACUCACUGUUUCACAUUGCACUUGUGAGGAGGAACAUUCUGUUUCUCUGAGUAAUGCAAACAUGUAACUAAUUCUUUUUUUGAAUUUCCAUUUUAUUUCAAAAUCUUAGAACAUAGCAAUCAUUUUCUUUAGAGCAUUUUAAUGCUUUGGAAAGUACAAAUACAAAAGUUUGAAAAUGUAUGAAGUCAUGCAAAAAUGACCAGUUUAGACAGAAUUUUAUUUUCCUACUUUAAGUAAGGUUACUGUAUUCUCUCAUAUAUAACACUGUUUCCUGAGUCAUAUAAGGGCCUUAGACCACCUUUCUAUGUCUUUAUACAUUGUUUCGUGUUGACAGUAUUUGGUAACAGUGUGAUGUAGAGAAAAAGGGUCAGAACUGAGCAGCAAGCAUUUCUGGUGUCAUUCAACUCCACUAAAACUUUUGUAAGUUUCCCAACCUUCAAGUAUCACUUUUGCUACUUAAAUGAUUGGGAAAAUAGUACUACAUUCAAGCACUGAUUGCAAGAUUACUUUAUAUGAUGUAGCUGUUUCUGGAAUUCUCUCUAACAUGUGGAAAGCACUCUCUUGGCUAACUAUUAGUAUAAUAUAUCACAACGUCAGUCUCUUAUCAAAGAUACCUCUGAAAAGAUGAUUACAACUCUGCAAGUUAGGCAUAGAGGUGUAAGACUGAUGCAAUUAGUUGAAAUGUCAGUCAGUUCACUACACAAUCGUGCCAUCCUCCUUCCGAUCAGAUUCUGACUGUGUGCACAGACUUUUAAAACAUGACAAUAGCCUUAAAUUUACUUAGAUUCUGGAAAGGAAGGCUAUAAGACAGCAUUUAUGUGGAAGUUAUUAUUUUAUUCACAUUGAUAUUUCCCUAAUUGUCCUUUUCAAAGUUUACUCAUAAAGUCAACUAAACGCAAGGUAAAUGAGCUCAGUCUUUGUGUUGGGGUGAUCAGUAUCCCUUACAUGACUGAGUAAGCCACCUGCUCUUUCUUAUUGCCUAAUUGGGUUGAGAAAUAGGAGAGCCUCCAGGACAAACUGGGGACAAAGGCCAGGGAGUAGUUUCCACAUGGAAAAGUGUUCUUGUCCUCACACUGCCCAUGCUGGCCUGAUUUCUGGGAAGGUUACUAGAGAUUAUGAAUGUCUGGUACCAGAAGAGCCUCAUGUCCAUAUGGUGUGUCUGGGUAAUUUUGAAAUGGCUAAACUCUUGGGAACUUAAAAAGUUAUUAAUAGAAAAGGACAAAAAAAUCCAUAGGAGUUUAUGUUACAACUUUUAGGAAACUAUGAUUGAACAGACUUAGAAUAUAGGCUCUCCACAAAUAAGAAUGGAGUAGGUGAAAACAGGAAAAUAAAGUUUUAUUUCGACAUUUUUUCAUUUGUAAUUUUAAAUAUUUACAGAAUUUUCUUGCUGGGAUUUAAUGGCUUUUAAUAAAAAUGUAAUACCAAUUUUCUGUCUUAUUUAUUAUUCAUCCAUCUUCUGUUUUUUGUUUAUUGUUUCCUUAGGCCUAAUCAUGAGUGACAGUUUUCCGUGCGUUUGUCAUUAACUGUAAGGGAGUAUGGUUUUAUCUUCAGUAAAUCAGAUAAAAAUAUACUAAGAACUUUUUAAACAUUGUAUUACCUAAGAAAGCUGCUAUAUACACUUUCCUAUAGAUACUUUUAGUUUAAAAAAUUUAGUUUUAAAAAUUAAAGUGC
ensembl:lncRNA